rnacentral:lncRNA from 1 species
AGCAUGGAUCAUUGACGGUCCGUUCAUAUUUGCAUUUGUAGUUUUUUUAAGAUCUUUAAUGGCUAUCUAUCUAAUACAAAUCUGAUUGUGGUCCUAAAGAUGUUUGAAGAUAAUGAUUCCGACGGGUAUAUACGGAUCCGACGGAGUGAUGACUUGAUGAUGUUGCCGUGGACUUUGAGCAUGAAUCAGAUGGGUUCGUUCAGUUCACAUGGUGGCAUGAGACAACUACUACAGUUUUCUUCACUGGAUCGAUGACCUUGGCGAAGUUUAAACGUUAUUGAUGACCUUAUGGUGGGGUAUAAACACCAUGAAGAUGAUUUGAUGAUUGUCCAAUCUCAUACGUGCCAUGUUGUUGGGGUCAAAAACGGAUACGACAAAGUUAAUGUCCAAAUCUCCGUAAAAAUCAGCGUAAACAUUUUUUACG